UGGUUCAGUGGUAGAAUGCUCGCCUGCCAAGCGGGCGGCCCGGCUUCGUUUCCCGG
rnacentral:tRNA from 1 species